UACGUAGGUGGCAAGCGUUGUCCGGAUUUACUGGGCGUAAAGAGCGCGCAGGCGGUCGAUCAAGUCGCGUGUGAAAGCCCCGGCUCAACUGGGGAGGGUCACGCGAUACUGAUCGACUCGAAGGCAGGAGAGGGUAGUGGAAUUCCCGGUGUAGUGGUGAAAUGCGUAGAUAUCGGGAGGAACACCAGUGGCGAAGGCGACUACCUGGCCUGUUCUUGACGCUGAGGCGCGAAAGCUAGGGGAGCAAACGGGG
rnacentral:rRNA from 1 species